CUUGGUCAUUUAGAGGAAGUAAAAGUCGUAACAAGGUCUCCGUUGGUGAACCAGCGGAGGGAUCAUUACCGAGUACUAUAACUCAUAACCCUUUGUGAACCUUUAUACCUGUUGCUUCGGCGGCGCGCCUCUCGGGGCGUGCCCGCCGGCAUUAUCAGAAUCUCUGUUCGAACCCGACGAUACAUCUGAGUGUUCUAAGCGAACUGUUAAAACUUUCAACAACGGAUCUCUUGGCUCCAGCAUCGAUGAAGAACGCAGCGAAACGCGAUAUGUAAUGUGAAUUGCAGAAUUCAGUGAAUCAUCGAAUCUUUGAACGCACAUGGCGCCUUCCAGUAUCCUGGGAGGCAUGCCUGUCCGAGCGUCGUUUCAACCCUCGAGCCCCCGUGGCCCGGCGUUGGGGAUCUGCCCAGGCAGUCCCCGAAAACCAGUGGCGGACCCGUCGGGCCCUUCCUUUGCGUAGUAAUAUCUGCCUCGCAUCGGGAGCCCUCGGGCUAUCCGGCCUCUAAACCCCCCUCAAGCCCGCUCCGGCGGCACCAAGGUUGACCUCGGAUCAGGUAGGAAUACCCGCUGAACUUAAGCAUAUCAAUAAGCGGAGGAAAAGAAACCAACAGGGAUUGCCUCAGUAACGGCGAGUGAAGCGGCAACAGCUCAAAUUUGAAAUCUGGCUCCUUCGGGGCCCGAGUUGUAGUUUGCAGAGGAUGCUUCGGGUACGGGUUCCUUCCGAGUUCCCUGGAACGGGACGCCAUAGAGGGCGAGAGCCCCGUCUGGUAGGACACCCGGCCCGUGUGAAGCUCCCUCGACGAGUCGAGUUGUUUGGGAAU
rnacentral:sRNA from 1 species